UUCCAGACUCCUACGGGAGGCAGCAGUGGGGGAUAUUGCACAAUGGGGGGAACCCUGAUGCAGCGACGCCGCGUGGGCGAUGGAGCGCCUCGGCGCGUAAAGCCCUAUCAGCAGGGAAGAAGAUGACGGUACCUGACUAAGAAGCCCCGGCUAAAUACGUGCCAGCAGCCGCGGUAAUACGUAUGGGGCAAGCGUUAUCCGGAUUUACUGGGUGUAAAGGGAGCGCAGGCGGCCUGGCAAGCCUGAUGUGAAAUACCGGGGCCCAACCCCGGGGCUGCAUUGGGAACUGCCAGGCUGGAGUGCAGGAGAGGUAAGUGGAAUUCCUAGUGUAGCGGUGAAAUGCGUAGAUAUUAGGAGGAACACCAGUGGCGAAGGCGGCUUACUGGACUGUAACUGACGUUGAGGCUCGAAAGCGUGGGGAGCAAACAGGAUUAGAUACCCGCGUAAC
rnacentral:rRNA from 1 species